rnacentral:lncRNA from 1 species
CUCGACCAACACUGUCCAAAUCGAAGUCACCACCAAUUUCAUCUCGUCCUCACGAGUCCAAAACACCUAGCCUUGUCACGAAUCUCAUCCCCGAUCGUUGGGAUCAAAAUUCAAGCAGGCCGCGAGUUUUCCAACCAUUUUUCGGCAACAUGGCAAACAACUGAGGCUCAAGACCACCACCAUUAGAUUCGCAUCGAGUGUGGGAACAAAGCCCAGUCAUUAAAUGUUGGUGUUUUGUUGGAUGAAUUUUUCAGGAUUUGCCCAUUGUAUGUACACGACAUGCACAUGGUAUGCUCACAGAUUUGAGCCAACCCAAAAAUCCAGAUGAAUUAAUACUUAGAAGUUAAAUUAGGGUUUGUGUUUCAUGUUGGGGCCUAUGGGUUGUGGAAUAAAUUUCAAGUUUUGAAUUGCUACAAAAACUGGGAUGGAACAAUUUCUGGUUCAAGUGUCAAAUUGCAGAAAUUUGUGAAAUUUUUUCUGUAAUGUGCAUGUGGUGUGCAUGGCUAAUUUCAUAGUAAUAUUCUAACUCCAAACACCCAAAGCUCUCUCUUUUUGAAAUCAGAAAAAUGAUGUCAUCACCUGCGAUGUCACCACCAGGUACACUAUAUGCACACCACAUGCACAUCAUAUGCACAAAACUGGAGAUCGAGCAAUGAGCUAUUUUUCUCAUUAACAAGAAACUUUAACGGCAACCUUUUGGUAUAAUGAAUACAAUUAAAACAUAAUUUUUACGUAUAUAAGGUUACAGUGGUAGUUUGAAAAGUCUUUUACGUAUAUCAAUUACCGCUUAACCAUGCACGUGGAAAACAUGAUACUCGUUGUCGUUAUUUCAUGGACACGCAUGAUCCUUAACAUCAUCUAAGCUUUUUCUUAAUUUUUUUUCACCGAGGCCAACUAGGUUGUGGUCAUUCUCCUUAAAUUCUGGGGCACAACAUACGUGCAUCAUAACUAGUGAACAUUCCCGCUUCUCAUGUUAAGAUGUAGCCAUGCACACCAUAUGCACACCACAUGCACAUAAUGAAAAAAAAUUCACAAAUUUCUGUAAUUGGACACUUGAACCAUAAAUUGUUCCAUCCCAGUUUUGUAGCAUGUCAAAACUUGAAAUUUAUUCCACAACCCAUUGGCCCCAACAUGAAACACAAACCCUAAUUUAACUUCUAAGUAUUAAUUCAUCUAGGUUUUUGGGUUGGCUCAGAUCUAUGAGCAUAUCAUGUGCAUGUCGUGUACAUACAACAAACAAAUCCUGAAAAAUUCAUCAAACAAAACACCAACAUUUAAUGACUGGGCUUUGUUCCCACCCUCGAUGUGAGUCCAGUGGUGGUGGUCUCGAGCCUCGAUUGUCUGCUGUGUUGCCAAAAAAUGGCCGGAAAACUCGCGGCCUGCUUGAGUUUCGAUCCCAACGAUCGGGGAUGAGAUUCGUGACAAGGCUAGGUGUUUUGGACUCGUGAGGAUGAGAUGAUAUUGGUGGUGACUUUCAUUUGGACAUUGUUGGUUGGGAUGACAGUGCACCGUGUGUGCACAGUGAGAAUGGGAGAGAGAGUGCGUGGGGGAGAAAGUGAGAGAAGAGAGAGAGGGAGGGAGAGAGAGAGAAAUCAGAAAAUGGGAGCAAAUAACCCAUUUAUAUAGAAGGGCAAUUAAGUCAUUUCAAGGUGUAGAAAAAUCCUAUUUCUGUUCGAUUUUUGUGCAUGGCGUGUGCAUAUUUGAAAUGUCCUAUUUCUUUACCAAGAUUAAGAUACUUUCCUAUUUAUGGGUAUUUCCUAAUUUUUUAAAUAUUCACAUAUAUAGUGUUUAGUCGACUAAUGUAGUAUUUAGUAAAUUAGUAUACAUUACUAUACUAAUUAUACCUACGCUCAUUGGUACAAGUUCGAUCCCUACCUUUUCCCCACCUUUGGUAUGAGUUCGAUCUCCACCUUUUUCCCACCUAUUCCCAUUCUUCCUAACAUCUAACUAUUUAACCCACUAGCUCUAAUCGCUCUACUAAAAAAAGUGUUAAAUUUAUAACAAUACCUUACUUCUAAAAAGUUUUGAGGUAGAUACUAUAGCAGUGGGAACAAUUAACAAUUCGAUAAUUAGGGUUCAUUGAGCGGCAACUUGAAGCCUUAUUCCCACUUAGUCACAUAAAAGAAGAAACUAGAUCAUGUUGCAGUUCUAUUGGAUUAGGAAUGUGAUUGUGUAAGUCCUAUCAUAUCUGGGAUAUCCUCAUGGGAUUCUACCGUAUCUCUUAGACUAGAUAUUAUCCUAUUAGAGUUGUAAUCCUAUUAAGGUACUACUAUAAAUAAAGGCACAAUAUGGUGAAAUAGAACAUACCUUAGAAUUACACAUCUCUCUCUUCUCUCUCUAUGUGCCGCACAUCCCUCUCUCUCUGGCCUCCAUAAUUGUUCAGUAAAUUAUGCCUACAACACGUUAUUAGCACGCUCUUGACGCAACGCUAAAGAGAGUUUGAUCUUCAAUCAAGGGAAUAUUACAUUUUAAUCAUUAUUUUUAUGAUUAAUUUAUUAUUUUAUUGAAUUGAUCUACAUGCUAUUGAUUCAAUUUAUUUUUCUUUGUUGAAUGUGAUCAACGCAUUGGAGAUGCAAUUCCAGCUUUCAGAGAAGGAUUUUCUACAAAUUCAAAGGCUUUUGUUGUUUUCUACCAAUCAGGUACACUUAAAAUAAAGGAAGAUAUUUGAAACAACCAUGAAGCAUGAAAACAUUCCCCAUGAUGCAUGAACCCCCUACAUUUAUAUUUACCUUCCGAUAUAUAUAUAUAUAUAUACACACACACACACACAUACGUUUCAUGCAUUAUGCAAUUUUGCUAUGUGGAAUUUGUGAGUCAAAGCAUUGAAAUAAAUUAGAAGCACAUUUUGGGUUUUGCCAAACCCUAAAA